CGUAGGGUCCGAGCGUUGUCCGGAAUUAUUGGGCGUAAAGGGCUCGUAGGCGGUUUGUCGCGUCGGGAGUGAAAACCAAGGGCUUAACUCAUGGCUUGCUUUCGAUACGGGCAGACUAGAGGUAUGCAGGGGAGAAUGGAAUUCCUGGUGUAGCGGUGAAAUGCGCAGAUAUCAGGAGGAACACCGGUGGCGAAGGCGGUUCUCUGGGCAUUACCUGACGCUGAGGAGCGAAAGUGUGGGGAGCGAACAGGAUUAGAUACCCUGGUAGUCCACACCGUAAACGUUGGGCGCUAGGUGUGGGACCUAUUCCAUGGGUUCCGUGCCGUAGCUAACGCAUUAAGCGCCCCGCCUGGGGAGUACGGCCGCAAGGCUA
rnacentral:rRNA from 1 species